rnacentral:lncRNA from 1 species
UCACUUUACUGAACUCCUAACUGCAUUCUAAAUAUUUGCCCUCAUGUCCACAGACAGGUGUUGUCAUCCCUGCUCCUUAAGGACUUUUGUUUGCAACAGACAAAAACCAUCAGUUACAAAAGACUACAAGCAAUUGAAACAGAGUUGAAGAGCCCAGUUCCAACUGAUACAUCUACUAGGAUGGGGCAAUCUUUCUCUUGUUCGGUCAGACUCAACAGCGGUCCAUAAUGCUGCGACAGAAUGGUGCUGUGCCAGCUUCAGGCUCCAGCCUCCAGGCUCCAGGCUGCUCCAGGCUCCUCCAGGCUCCUCCAGGCUCCUCCAGGCUCCAGACUGUGGAUUCAUUCCUGAAACGCAGCCCUUUCCUGGCUGAUAAGGGUAACAAUGACUGGAUGUCUGAGCCAGUAACUUCAGUACCACCCCGGAUUAAAUAAAUAGACAUCCAUCGAUCAAGAGGCAGAGCAAGCAACCAGUUGACAGGGAGUGAACAUAGGAAAACCCAGGAAGAAGAAAGGAGGGUCUUCGAGUUGAAGGGUAUUUAAGACAGCAUGGAGAAGGACAAAGGCUUUUUCCUUCUGGGACAUCAGUGGAGGGGGAACAAGGCAUUUCCUAGGCAGGGAGCCUAGCAAGAGGCUUCUCUUUCUGAGCAUAAAGCAUUUCGAGACUCCAGGAAGGAGUCACAAGAUUAAAAGGCACCUGGACCACAGAAAGACAACAAUUAGGAAGACCUGCUCUGGGUUUGUGCAUGAGCAAGGAACACGAAUUAUUUCUCAAGCCACUGAAAAUAUAGUUUGAUGACGGCAACAGGUAGGGGUUACCAUAACAAUCCGACCUCAUGGGCUCGAAACUUGACAAAUAGCACACGACUGUCAAUGAGUGGACACAGGGCAGCUGGUAGUGGGCCCGGCCUGAAGAGUCUCCCUGACCUUGGCAGGACACUGGAUGGUGGUGACCCAUUAUAUAGUUCCAUUGCCCGGGUUGGGCAGAGCUGCCUAACUGUGACCCCAGAAUCUUAAUACGACCCCAAGAGAAAGGUACCCUGAAAAUGGCUGAAAUCGUUCUUACUGCCACACUCUCACAACUGGGUUUGAAAUAAAUGACUGUGGCUCGGUAGGAAUGCCGACAGCAGCAUUUAUUUGUACUUGUUGAAGAUAUCGAUGAAGGAGUUGAGGAUGAAGGUGAAGAUGAUGAGGGUGAAGGGGAGGAGAGGAUGACUAGCACUGAUGGACUCCAACCUUCCUUUUUCUUUUUAUUUAUUUUUAAAAUUUUCUCCAGUCCCUAGGAGCAAGUUACAGCUCUUUUCUCCCUGCCCCUCUAUGGUCAGUCACCCUGUUUUUGAGGUCUCAACAUCAUGAUUCUCAACUAAUUUUGGGGAAAAUAUCUUGAGCAAAAUACAACAGGAGAAGAAUCGAUUCGUGCUGAUUCUGAGUUGCCGCUGCUACUGAUUUGUGUUUGGCAUUUGCUGAUUGGACUGGACUGCCUCAACUGAUUCAUGGUCGAUGUCUUGGACUGGACUGUGGAUAUCCUGACAAUGAAGCUUAAUAUUGCCCCAAAGAACUACUUCUAAACAGGUCCACAUCCCCUUGUCCUAUUAACCAUCUUUCUCUCCUACAGUCGGAGGGCUGGAAGGAGGUUUGAAGUGUUUAAGAACCCCUAUUAAAGUAGGUUGUGAAAGAUCUAGGUAUAGGAGGAGUCGAGUAUUUAAGAUUGCACUCUCAUCUUCAGAACUUCAUUCAAGGCCAUGGUAGAGCUGUCCAAGCACAGGGAUUCAUGCAACAUCCAAAUACAACUUUGGAAGUGGCAAGUGUUUUUCUUCUUUUCUCCAUUAGUCAUUUCCUCUCUGGUCUCCACUAAUUAGUGGAAAAGACCCCACUGUAUGCCUUUCCCUGAAGCCCCAGAUGAGGCUCAUACUUUUCUCCUCCUCCUCCUCUUCCUCCUCCUCCUCUUCCUCCUCCUCUGACUUCACCUCAUACAUUCUUCUCUGAUAUCAGAGGUACAGAGAUAAUGAAUUUCUGACUAUACACAGUCAAGCAAUUUAAAAUUAUACUGUGA